GCGGUUGUGGCGAAGUGGUUAACGCACCGGAUUGUGGCUCCGGCAUUCGUGAGUUCGAUUCUCAUCAACCGCC
rnacentral:tRNA from 2 species